UACGUAGGGGGCAAGCGUUGUCCGGAAUCAUUGGGCGUAAAGAGCGUGUAGGCGGCCAGAUAAGUCCGCUGUGAAAUCUCGAGGCUCAACUUCGAGCUGUCGGUGGAAACUGUCUGGCUAGAGUCCGGAAGAGGAGAAUGGAAUUCCUGGUGUAGCGGUGAAAUGCGCAGAUAUCAGGAGGAACACCAAUUGCGAAGGCAGCUCGCUGGGACGUUACUGACGCUGAGACGCGAAAGCGUGGGGAGCAAACAGG
rnacentral:rRNA from 1 species